GACGAACGCUGGCGGCGUGCUUAACACAUGCAAGUCGAACGGAAAGGCCCUGCUCUUGUGGGGUGCUCGAGUGGCGAACGGGUGAGUAACACGUGAGUAACCUGCCCUUGACUUUGGGAUAACUUCAGGAAACUGGGGCUAAUACCGGAUAGGAGCUCCUGCUGCAUGGUGGGGGUUGGAAAGUUUCGGCGGUUGGGGCUGGACUCGCGGCUUAUCAGCUUGUUGGUGGGGUAGUGGCUUACCAAGGCUUUGACGGGUAGCCGGCCUGCGAGGGUGACCGGCCACAUUGGGACUGAGAUACGGCCCAGACUCCUACGGGAGGCAGCAGUGGGGAGUAUUGCACAAUGGGCGGAAGCCUGAUGCAGCAACGCCGCGUGCGGGAUGACGGCCUUCGGGUUGUAAACCGCUUUCGCCUGUGACGAAGCGUGAGUGACGGUAAUGGGUAAAGAAGCACCGGCUAACUACGUG
rnacentral:rRNA from 1 species